GUGAAACCGCGAAUGGCUCAUUAAAUCACACCUAAUCUACUGGAUAGUAGUCAGUUACUUGGAUACCUGAGGUAAUUCUUCAGCUAAUACAUGCACACAAGCCUCGAACUUACGUGAGAGGCGCUUUUAUUAGAUCAAAACCAGUCGGCUCCGGCCGUCCCUUUGGUGACUCUGAAUAACUUUGGGCUGAUCGCAUGGCCUCGCGCCGGCGACAUAUCCUUCGAAGGUGUGCCCUAUCAACUGUCGACUGUGGCAUAGACGCCCACAGUGGUUUUGACGGGUAACGGGGAAUCAGGGUUCGAUUCCGGAGAGGGAGCCUUAAAAACGGCUACCACAUCCAAGGAAGGCAGCAGGCACGCAAAUUACCCAAUGACCGAAGGUCGAGGUAGUGACGAAAAAUAACGAUACGGGACUCAUCCGAGGCCCCGUAAUCGGAAUGAGUACACUUUAAAACCUUUAAACGAGGAUCUAUUGGAGGGCAAGUCUGGUGCCAGCAGCCGCGGUAAUUCCAGCUCCAAUAGCGUAUAUUAAAGUUGUUGCGGUUAAAAAGCUCGUAGUUGGAUCUGGACAGGUAGAGGGCGGUAUGCUUGCUAGCAUUACUGCCCUAUUAUCUGUAGUUUUGCUAGAGGUUUCAGGGUGCUCUUAAUCGAGUGUCUUGGGAUGCUAGCAGGUUUACUUUGAAAAAAUUAGAGUGCUCAAAGCAGGCUACUACGCUUGAAUAUUCGUGCAUGGAAUAAUAGAAUAGGAAGUUGUUUCUAUUUUGUUGGUUUUCGGAAAUCGACUUAAUGAUUAAUAGGGACAGUCGGGGGCAUUUGUAUUCAAACGACAGAGGUGAAAUUCUUGGACCGUUUGAAGACAAACUACUGCGAAAGCAUUUGCCAAGAAUGUUUUCAUUAAUCAAGAACGAAAG
rnacentral:rRNA from 1 species